GAAAAAAAAAUUUAAUAUUGAUUUCCAAAAUUUUUGUGUAUUAUAAAUUUGUGAAGAUGACGCGUUCUAAAAACUUAAAGGACGCAGCCAGUAGUGAUAUGUCUGUGCGUUAUAUGUUGAAGGAUUUUAAAAAGGAAAUCAGAAGGCGAUUUAACGAAGAAAAUGAGCUAGUACGCGAGUUAAAGAGGGAAAUUAGAAACUAUCGCGAUGCUCAUCAAAAAAGCUUGAAGAUCUGGCAUCAGGAACUGAAAAAGAAAAAUACACCAAUUGCUGCACCUUCACCCUCACUUUCACCUAGUUCUAACGAAGUUGAUUUAAAGGAAAGGAUCAGUGUGUAUUCGGUGUUCAGUGAUAAUACAGGUCAAGCUUCUUUGGAUGAUGCAUCCAGUUUGGACUCAGAAUCGGUAAACAUUCAGAAGAAAGUGAAUUUGAAGAAGCCGAAGGAUAAGUUGAAAGCAGCUCCUCGUAAAAGAGGAAGACCUAGGAAAAAACCGGUACCCUUCUGGAAGAAAAAAUCCUAAACAUGCAUAUCAUGUGCUAUUCACCUCAUGAUCCUCCAUAAUAAUGGUCAAAACUGGAUUAUAACUAAAAAGGAAAUCUAUCGACCUAUUGUUGAUGACUAUUUUCUAUAAACUUCAUUUUAAUACAAAAUCGAAGGCAUUGUGACUAUUUUGUGGAGGAUGUAUUCCAUCUUUGACAUGAGGUGUAAAUUAGGAAUAGGAGAAUUUAGGGAAUGAUGUUAAUUAUUUGUGGUUCCGAUGUAAAUAUCAUAUCCUGAAGUGUAUUAUGUAUGCCUACAACUCUUUCGUGACAGAAGUUGUUAUUGGACUGAAAAUUACUUAAUGAAUUCUAUUCCUAAUAGAAAUACGAUUACUUAUUAUAUCAAGCUUAAGAUUUCUAAGUUUUCUUAGAAAUUAUAUACCAAUAGAAGAUCGGAGCAUGAUGGUAUCAUAUGUAGGGACUCAUUUCUUCUCUGACAUGGCAUGUAGAAUUGGAAGAGGAGGAGAAUUUGUGAGGUAAUGAUAACUAUUCAUGGUUCCGAUAUAAGGAGUAUAACCGCAACUAGGUAUUAUAUAAGCCUAAGAGUUCCAAGUGGGAAAAUAAAUUUGAAUUGGACGGGAAAUAAUAUAAUAUAUUAUAUUCCUAGUUAAAACCACUAAUAGAACCGCUAUGUAUCUAAUAACGCAAGUUGACUGGAUAACUGAUGCCAUGACGACGAAGAAAAACGGCCGUUAUCUUUGCACAUAGUUAGGGGACCCAGGAGGGUUCUUACGCAAUUGUACUUGCGUCUAAUGUUUGAUUGUUAAAAACAUUAAUUUUUUUCUUAUUAAACCAAAAUUUUUGUUA